GGGUAUAAAGUGUGCGCAGGCGGUUUGCUAAGACCGAUGUGAAAUCCCCGGGCUCAACCUGGGAACUGCAUUGGUGACUGGCAGGCUAGAGUAUGGCAGAGGGGGGUAGAAUUCCACGUGUAGCAGUGAAAUGCGUAGAGAUGUGGAGGAAUACCGAUGGCGAAGGCAGCCCCCUGGGCCAAUACUGACGCUCAUGCACGAAAGCGUGGGGAGCAAACAGGAUUAGAUACCCUGGUAGUCCACGCCCUAAACGAUGUCAACUAGUUGUUGGGGAUUCAUUUCCUUAGUAACGUAGCUAACGCGUGAAGUUGACCGCCUGGGGAGUACGGUCGCAAGAUUAAAACU
rnacentral:rRNA from 1 species